AUACGGAGGGUGCGAGCGUUAAUCGGAAUUACUGGGCGUAAAGCGUACGUAGGCGGUUUGCUAAGUCAGAUGUGAAAGCCCCGGGCUUAACCUGGGAACUGCAUUUGAUACUGGCAGACUAGAGUAUGAUAGAGGGGGGUAGAAUUCCUGGUGUAGCGGUGAAAUGCGUAGAUAUCAGGAGUAAUACCAGUGGCGAAGGCGGCCCCCUGGAUCAAUACUGACGCUGAGGUACGAAAGCGUGGGGAGCAAACAGGAUUAGAAACCCUAGUAGUCC
rnacentral:rRNA from 1 species